CAGCACCUUUUGUAAGACUGGCAUAGGGCUUUACCCGCUCUGCAUCAGAGCUUCUUUGGGUGUGCUGUGCUCAGGCUUGUCUGGCUGAGGGAGUACAUAACUUGUGCUUCAGCUCCACCUCUACACCUCUACCAAACAGAGAGAGAGAGAGAGAGAGAACAUGUGGGAGAAGAGCUGCUAACACAGUGCGAGAGGAAUGCAAGACUUUUCUUGCCAGUUCCCACAACAUCAGUCCAGAGAGAGGGAAAGAUAUUGAGAUAUUGAUUGUCUCCAACACAGACUCUGGAGACCUUUAUGCUUAUAAAGACAAACACACACAUACAGUGCAGAUUCACAUCUCGCAGAGCAUACACACACUUAAGUUUACUCAUCAGAGGCAUUCUCGCACUGCUGUGAUGGAACACUCUCCUACACUCCAGGGUGGACGGUUUGGACUUUUCUUCUCACUCUCAUGGAAAGCAGAAAGUAUUCUUGGAAAUCCUUGAAAAGCUCUUCUGGAUAGUACCCUGAACCAAUCUGGAUUGGAGGUAAAGGAUUAUUAAUACGCUGGACUUCGCUUCAGAAUGGCCACAAAAGAUCACAGCGUUUAUCCAAGUCCACUCCAUGUGACAGUGAAGCACUGGAAAAGGCCUGGAACUACUACUGAUUUGUUUGAAAUGAUUGAGAGAAUGCAGAGCAACAGAAUGGAUGAACAGCGGAGUACCCUUCCACCCCCUCUCAAAACCGAGGAAGACUACAUCCCAUAUCCCAGUGUCCAUGAGGUGCUGGGCAGGAAGAGCCCUUUCCCCUUGAUUCUGCUGCCCCAGUUUGGGGGCUACUGGAUUGAAGGCACCAAUCAUGAGUUGAGCAACGGAAAUGACCCAGAGCUGCUCCUGUCCCCCACAUCUCGCAUCAAGCUGGAGUGCAACACCACCGCCAAGAUAUACAGGAAACAUUUUCUGGGCAAGGAGCACUUUAAUUACUACACAGUGGACAGCGCUCUGGGCCACCUGGUCUUCUCUGUUAAAUAUGAAGUUAUUGGGGACCAGGAACACCUCCGUUUGAUGCUGAGAUCCAAAUUGAAAACGUAUCACGACGUGAUCCCGAUAUCUUGUCUGACUGAAUUUCCCAACAUUGUCCAGAUGGCCAAGCUGGUGUGUGAGGAGGUGAACGUGGACCGCUUUUUCCCUGUGCUUUACCCAAAGGCUUCAAGGCUCAUUGUCACUUUUGACGAGCAUGUCAUCAGCAACAACUUCAAGUUUGGAGUAAUAUAUCAGAAGUUCGGACAGACUUCAGAGGAGGAGGUGUUCGGGAAUAAUGAAGAGAGUCUUGCUUUUGUAGAGUUUUUAGAGUUUCUGGGACAGAAGAUCGAGCUCCAUGACUUCAAAGGUUUUCGAGGGGGCUUAGAUGUGACACACGGACAGACAGGCACAGAAUCGGUCUACCACAACUUCCAUAAUAAGGAGGUGAUGUUCCAUGUGUCCACCAAACUUCCCUACACAGAAGGAGACAUGCAACAGCUGCAGAGAAAGAGGCAUAUAGGAAAUGACAUUGUGGCCAUCGUGUUUCAAGAAGAGAACACUCCCUUUGUGCCAGACAUGAUUGCAUCUAACUUCCUGCAUGCCUACAUUGUCGUGCAAGUGGAGAAUUCCUGUUCUGACAAUGUCCUGUACAAGGUGUCAGUGACCGCAAGAGAUGAUGUCCCAUUCUUUGGACCAGCCCUACCUGACCCUGCCAUAUUCAAGAAAGGACCAGAAUUCCAUGAAUUUCUUUUCACCAAGCUGAUCAAUGCUGAGUAUGCUUGCUACAAAGCUGAGAAAUUUGCCAAACUGGAAGAGCGCACUCGGGCGGCGCUGCUGGAAACCCUGUAUGAAGAGUUGCACAUAAACAGUCAGGCCAUGAUGGGGCUCGGUGGAGAUGAGGACAAGCUGGAGAACGGAGGAGGAGGGAGUGGGGGCUUCUUCGAGUCAUUUAAGCGGGUGAUCCGCAGCAGGAGCCAGUCUCUGGAUGCCAUGGGCUUCAAUAUCAGGAAGCACACAGUCUCCUCUAGUCACAGCGGCAGUUUUACCCACAACAACAACAACCAUCACCUGCACUCACCAGAGACCCCCAAAAUGCCCGGGAUAUCAUUGCUUGUCCCAGGGAAAAGUCCCAGUAAAUAUGGACGUCGCGGCAGUGCCAUAGGGAUAGGAACGAUAGAAGAGUCUCUGAUAAUUCCUGGGAAAAGCCCGACCAGGAAAAAGUCUGGCCCAUUCAGCUCUCGCAGGAGCAGUGCCAUUGGCAUUGAGAACAUCCAGGAGGUGCAGGAAAAAAGGAUUGCAUCGCUGUUGUCAGAGGACAGAACAGUGCUGUGUGUGUCUCUGCCCAGCGUCAGUCUCAGGAAUGGCAGGCUCACCAUGGAUUCCUCCAACAGCAGGGAGUGCUCUCCCAGCACACAGAAAACCCCAGACAGUGGCCACGCUUCGCAGGACCCCAAGUCAGAAAACUCUUCUAAUCAGAGCUCACCUGAGGUCCUCGUUACUAAAACAACUCAGCCAUGUGCUGCAGGGCUCCCUCCAUCCCUGAAGCUCAUGACUUAUCACGCUCCUCCUCGAAUGCCAGUAGCUUUGCCAGUGUGGUGGAGGAGAAUGAGACUGAGGCCACAGAGGACUAUGACACGGGCAUGGAAAGUUUGUCCUCAGCAGGGACGCCACACAAGCGAGACUCUUUCACCUACAGCACUUGGCUGGAGGACAAUAUGAGCAGUGUCAGCACCAGCAGCAGGGGGAACUCUCCUGGUACAGGCAGGCCUCUGCAGCCAGAAUGUGGAAAGAGCCAUGAACAGAACCGGACAGACAUCCGCAUCAAACUGGAGCGAUCUCAUGACCACAAAUCCACAUCGAACUGCUAGCCUCUCCCAUCUGGUCGCUUCAUGGAUUUCCAUCAACAGCAUUCCCAUAAGAAAAACACCCCCCUCAAAGAGAUGAGGCGAGCUUGGGUUUAGGACAUGACUGCUGAUGACAAUGAUGAUGAAGGUGAAGAUAACUCCAGCCUGCCACAGCGUGACGGAUGACAGGACCAUGAUCAUGUGACCAUGACCUCUCAGGUGGUCCAGUGCAGUAGACAGAGAGAGAGAGACAGACAGAGAGAGAGAGGGGGGUACAGGCUGCAUGAAGAAACCUAAGUUACAUUGCACCAAUUUCUUUUCAUUGUCAUUUCUCUCUCUUGGUCCCCACUCAGCCUCAGUGUAGGAUCUUUUCUGUUCUGAUGUCUGAAAUGCUUUUAGUCCCUGCAGUAAAUCAGUGUGGGCUUUGUGUCCAUGUAGAAAAGAUUGCUACCUGUUUAUCGUCUUGGUGAAUGGCUUCGUUAAUGGAUUGUGCAGGGUCCUAAAGUUGCACCAUGUUGAAUUCCCUGGACUCCAAGUAAAGAAACAUCUCCACUGCGUUGAGCAGAAGCUUUUUCAGUUCUCCCACAAGGACCAAACAGACAGAGCUGACUGAAAUGUUUCUGAAGCUUUUGACAUGGGCAUGUUUCUUUUUGUCGUCUGGUCUUUGCUUGUGGUAAUCACUGUUGAUAAUGUUUAAAUUGUUUGUGCUGCUUACAGCUUACAGUGAUUUUUUUGUUAAUGAUGUCACAUUAACAAUGUUCCAGGAUAACAAGUCCUAGUACAGAGAUGGAGCUUUCAGAUGAAGGAAAUUACAUGAAAUGAAACCUAUCAUUCCUGUGGAAACAGCCUGCAUUACCAACAGUAAAAGAAAAGAACACAGACAACACCUGAUAGAUGUCCAACUACAGCUAAUUAGGGAUAUGGAGUGAAUAUUCUUUAAAAUCGCUACUCAGACUUCACUUGCAAAUGCCUUGCCUUAACCAUCAAACGGGUGAUUUAUGCCAUGUUUAUAUUGCACGAAAAUCGAAUUCAGUGAGUGCAUCCAGCUAGCACCGAGUGACUAACUGUAGCAUAUGUUAUGAGCUUUGAUGUUGCAGUACGUAUUUUUGCCUUGAACUCUUGAUUUUUUUUUUAACAAGAUCACAGCUUGCUCCCAACAUGCCAGGGUCUUGGUUUCAGUCUAUAGUUAAAAAUGUCCUUUAUUUAAGUCCCUGUUCUUCUUGAGCAAAAGAAUUAUUUUAUUCUUUUUAAUUAUGUACAGCAGACACAACAUAUUGUCAGUUCUUUUGUAGACUUGGCGUCGUGUGUCAUGCUCACUAGAGUAUGAGCUGUUGUCUUGGUUACUUUCUGUUCUGUGUUCGGACGUAUGUCCAGUAGAUCUGUGAAGAUUGUAAUUUUAAAGAAGAUUUGGAGGUUGAAUGUGUGCCUAAUUUCUUUAUCUCUAGACUCUCCUUGCCAGACCUCCAGCAGAAAUGGUCAUAAAUGACAAAAACAUUUACUGUUGCAGCUUGAGAUAAGAUAUUGUAAAAUAUAUUUAUGUGGGAUGGUAAAGCUCAGCCUCUGUAAUCUGCAUAAGCGUAAGGCUGGUCUCAGAUUUACAUUGUAAAUAGGGAUUUUUCCAUUCAGAAUAUUUUAAAAUGGUUUUGUAGCCAAGGACUCUGCUUAUUCUGAGUCCAGAGAACCGGCCCUAGCUUUUAAACCUCAGUAAUGCCAAAAUCAGUCGUCUUGUGCCCUUAUUGACGUGAAGAUGAGUAGAUCACUGAAAAUAACCAGCACAAAGCGGUCCAGUGUAUGUGGUUUGGAGUUGCCUUACUGUCAGAAAUGUCAACGGUUAAUGAAGGUGUGAAUUAGUUGUAGGUACGAAUGUUAACUUUGAGUCCAUGUUGGAAUACAUGUGUUCAUUGGUGAAAAAUGAUGGCUUAAAUCAACUGCCUUUGCAUUGUCUUUGGUUGUUUCCAUGGCCACUACAUGGCCUAAAUAAUCCUUACUGUUCACUGUUUAUGUUCUAAAAAUGAAGGUGCAAAUACACAGGUAACAGGUAAAUGACAGGACCUCAACUCUAUCUUGCUUCAUCAUAUAAGUCAGUUCCAUCUGUGUGACACAAUGGAAUGGAGGACAACACAGGAUUUGUAUUUUCACUAUCCAUGCAAAUAGCAACCUCAGAUCAAAUGUACAAAGGAACAAACCUGAAUUAGAUUGCUGUUGUUGGCCCUGCUUAGCGCUUUUGUGCCCCUCUGUGGUGAGUUGUGGUCCUUCUACUCCUUCAAGCGUCCAUAUUGUAGUUUGAGCUCAAGUCGAAUUUGAUGCCAAAAAAAAAAAGGCACGAAAUGUGUGCUGCUCUAAACAGGGUAUGAAUCAAGCAUUGCUACAUGCUCCUAUCAAACGACUGUACAUGUGACCUGUCCAUGCUUUUGUGAGGUCAUUCUUGUAAAUACAGCUAUUUUGUACAUAGGCCUACUGUCCAGAAAAAAAGAUUAAAUAAAGAGACUUGGGUGUAAUGUUU